rnacentral:rRNA from 1 species
ACUGCUCAGUAACACGUGGCUAACCUACCCUCAGGACAAGGAUAAACCCGGGAAACUGGGGCUAAUGCUUGAUAGGCGAAGAUGCCUGGAAUGGUUUUUCACCUAAAGGGCUUUAGAAACAUGCUUCUAAAGUCGCCUGAGGAUGGGGCCGCGUCCGAUCAGGUUGUUGGUGAGGUAACGGCUCACCAAGCCUAUAACCGGUACGGGCCGUGAGAGCGGUAGCCCGGAGAUGGGUACUGAGACAAGGACCCAGGCCCUACGGGGCGCAGCAGCCGCGGUAA